GCGGGUGUAGCUCAGUGGUAGAGCCCCACGUUGCCAACGUGGCUGUCGUCAGUUCGAAUCUGAUCACCCGCU
rnacentral:tRNA from 1 species